AGAACGAACGCUGGCGGCAUGCCUAACACAUGCAAGUCGAACGGGCCCUUCGGGGCUAGUGGCGCACGGGUGCGUAACGCGUGGGAAUCUGCCCUUAGGUUCGGAAUAACUCAGGGAAACUUGAGCUAAUACCGUAUAAUGACUUCGGUCCAAAGAUUUAUCGCCUAGGGAUGAGCCCGCGUAGGAUUAGCUUGUUGGUGAGGUAAAGGCUCACCAAGGCGACGAUCCUUAGCUGGUCUGAGAGGAUGAUCAGCCACACUGGGACUGAGACACGGCCCAGACUCCUACGGGAGGCAGCAGUGGGGAAUAUUGGACAAUGGGCGAAAGCCUGAUCCAGCAAUGCCGCGUGAGUGAUGAAGGCCUUAGGGUUGUAAAGCUCUUUUACCCGGGAAGAUAAUGACUGUACCGGGAGAAUAAGCUCCGGCUAACUCCGCGCCAGCAGCCGC
rnacentral:rRNA from 1 species